GACGUAGGGUGCGAGCGUUGUCCGGAUUUAUUGGGCGUAAAGAGCUCGUAGGCGGCUCGUCGCGUCGACCGUGAAAACCCGCAGCUUAACUGCGGGCUUGCGGUUGAUACGGGCAGACUAGAGUGCGGUAGGGGAGACUGGAAUUCCUGGUGUAGCGGUGAAAUGCGCAGAUAUCAGGAGGAACACCGGUGGCGAAGGCGGGUCUCUGGGCCGUAACUGACGCUGAGGUGCGAAAGCGUGGGGAGCAAACAGG
rnacentral:rRNA from 1 species